GGCGGACGGGUGAGUAAUGCAUAGGAAUCUGCCCGAUAGUGGGGGAUAACCUGGGGAAACCCAGGCUAAUACCGCAUACGUCCUACGGGAGAAAGGGGGCUUCGGCUCCCGCUAUUGGAUGAGCCUAUGUCGGAUUAGCUAGUUGGUGAGGUAAUGGCUCACCAAGGCAACGAUCCGUAGCUGGUCUGAGAGGAUGAUCAGCCACAUCGGGACUGAGACACGGCCCGAACUCCUACGGGAGGCAGCAGUGGGGAAUAUUGGACAAUGGGGGCAACCCUGAUCCAGCCAUGCCGCGUGUGUGAAGAAGGCCCUCGGGUUGUAAAGCACUUUCAGCGAGGAAGAACGCCUAUCGGUUAAUACCCGGUAGGAAAGACAUCACUCGCAGAAGAAGCACCGGCUAACUCCGUGCCAGCAGCCGCGGUAAUACGGAGGGUGCAAGCGUUAAUCGGAAUUACUGGGCGUAAAGCGCGCGUAGGUGGCUUGAUAAGCCGGUUGUGAAAGCCCCGGGCUCAACCUGGGAACGGCAUCCGGAACUGUCAGGCUAGAGUGCAGGAGAGGAAGGUAGAAUUCCCGGUGUAGCGGUGAAAUGCGUAGAGAUCGGGAGGAAUACCAGUGGCGAAGGCGGCCUUCUGGACUGACACUGACACUGAGGUGCGAAAGCGUGGGUAGCAAACAGGAUUAGAUACCCUGGUAGUCCACGCCGUAAACGAUGUCGACCAGCCGUUGGGUGCCUAGAGCACUUUGUGGCGAAGUUAACGCGAU
rnacentral:rRNA from 1 species